rnacentral:rRNA from 1 species
GCAAGUCGAGCGCUCUCUUCGGAGGGAGCGGCGGACGGGUUAGUAACGCGUGGGAAUAUACCCAGUACUAAGGAAUAGCCUCUGGAAACGGAGAGUAAUACCUUAUACGCCCUUCGGGGGAAAGAUUUAUCGGUAUUGGAUUAGCCCGCGUUAGAUUAGAUAGUUGGUGGGGUAACGGCCUACCAAGUCGACGAUCUAUAGCUGGUUUGAGAGGAUGAUC